UGCAAAACACAAUAGCAAAUCAGAAAACACAAUGGUUAAUGUUGUUGUGUUUUCUGAUUUGCUGUUGUGUUUUGCA